UACGGGAUGGUGUAACUGGUAGCACACUGGGCUUUGGACUCAGCAGUGGAGGUUCGAAUCCUUCUCCCGUAG
rnacentral:tRNA from 1 species